CACGCCGUAAACGAUGAAUGCCAGCCGUUGGGAAGUUUACUUUUCAGUGGCGCAGCUAACGCUUUAAGCAUUCCGCCUGGGGAGUNACGCGCAGAACCUUACCAGCCCUUGACAUGUCUAUGACCGGCACCAGAGAUGGAGCCUUCCCUUCGGGGCAUAGAGCACAGGUGC
rnacentral:rRNA from 1 species